rnacentral:rRNA from 1 species
AACGUAGGACGCAAGCGUUAUCCGGAGUUACUGGGCGUAAAGCGCGGGCAGGCGGCUCGAAACGUCUGAUGUGAAAUCUCCUCGCUCAACGGGGAGAGGCCAUUGGAAACGGUCGGGCUGGAGGGCAGUAGAGGCAGGCGGAAUUCCGAGUGUAGAGGUGAAAUUCGUAGAUAUUCGGAGGAACACCAGUGGCGAAGGCGGCUCACUGGCUCGGUACUGACGCUGAGGUGCGAAAGCGUGGGGAGCAAACAGG